UUGCAGGGACUUGUAAGGACAGAUUUA
rnacentral:misc_RNA from 1 species